rnacentral:sRNA from 1 species
UCCCAUCUCACGUUAGUUUCUUCUCCAUGGAAGCAUGCUAGGUGUUUUGAGAGAGAAAGAAAGAAAAAGCCCUAUAAUAGCUUGGGAACUGUUGGAAAGAAAUUUAAAGUUACUAAACUAUCAAGGUUCCAACGAAGCCCCAUUAUCCCAAUUGGACCAUUAGGGAGGUUAGAGUUGGCUAAAGGCUCAACUACUACCGAUUACGAGACAGUUGGUAACUAGGUCAAGGUGCCUUUGCAGACUCGACUAUUGGUAAGUGUCUUGGCAUUCAGUAGCUGUAUAUUCGUCGAGUUUUUUCGCUAGACAUCGAGUCUCCUUUUGACAUGUAUAGACAAUUUUGAUGUUAAUUAUUAGAAUACAUACUGUAGACAAUGUAUGUAUAUUUUAAAUGAGUAGUGCUAGUACGAGUUGGUAAUGUCCAUCACCAUUUUGAUCCAAAGUUAUAAAAUGUGACUUAGCAAUAUUUGAUGGAGUAAUGAGCAGGAUAAAUAGUAGGCUUGCUUGGGCUUAGUGGACUACGUCCAUUGGGCCCAUGCGCCGGUCAUGGCCAAGAAUUUGGG